UGGGGAGUAUUGGACAAUGGAGGGAACUCUGAUCCAGCAAUUCUGUGUGUGUGAAGAAGGUUUUAGGACUGUAAAACACUUUUAGUAGGGAAGAAAAAAAUGACGGUACCUACAGAAGAAGCAACGGCUAAAUACGUGCCAGCAGCCGCGGUAAUACGUAUGUUGCGAGCGUUAUCCGGAAUUAUUGGGCUUAAAGGGCAUCUAGGCGGUAAGACAAGUUGAAGGUGAAAACCUGUGGCUCAACCAUAGGCUUGCCUACAAAACUGUUGAACUAGAGUACUGGAAAGGUGGGUGGAACUACACGAGUAGAGGUGAAAUUCGUAGAUAUGUGUAGGAAUGCCGAUGAUGAAGAUAACUCACUGGACAGAAACUGACGCUGAAGUGCGAAAGCUAGGGGAGCAAACAGG
rnacentral:rRNA from 1 species